rnacentral:siRNA from 1 species
CACGUCUGCCUGGGUGUCACGC